rnacentral:rRNA from 1 species
UACGGAGGGGGCAAGCGUUGUUCGGAUUUACUGGGCGUAAAGCGUAUGUAGGCGGUUUUGUAAGUUACUUGUGAAAUUUCUGAGCUUAACUCAGAGCGGCCAAGUAAUACUGCCAAACUAGAGUGCAGAAGGGGCAAUUGGAAUUCCUGGUGUAGCGGUGAAAUGCGUAGAUAUCAGGAAGAACACCAGAGGCGAAGGCGAAUUGCUGGGCUGGCACUGACGCUGAGAUACGAAAGCUUGGGGAGCAAACAGG